rnacentral:rRNA from 1 species
UACAGAGGUCUCAAGCGUUGUUCGGAUUCAUUGGGCGUAAAGGGCUCGUAGGUGGCCAACUAAGUCAGACGUGAAAUCCCUCGGCUUAACCGGGGAACUGCGUCUGAUACUGGAUGGCUAGAGUUUGGGAGAGGGAUGCGGAAUUCCAGGUGUAGCGGUGAAAUGCGUAGAUAUCUGGAGGAACACCGGUGGCGAAGGCGGCAUCCUGGACCAACACUGACGCUGAGGAGCGAAAGCGUGGGGAGCAAACGGG